rnacentral:rRNA from 1 species
UACAGAGGGUGCAAGCGUUAAUCGGAAUUACUGGGCGUAAAGCGUGCGUAGACGGUUGCGUAAGUCAGAUGUGAAAGCCCCGGGCUCAACCUGGGAAUUGCAUUUGAGACUGCGUAGCUAGGGUGCGGAAGAGGGAAGCGGAAUUUCCGGUGUAGCGGUGAAAUGCGUAGAUAUCGGAAGGAACACCAGUGGCGAAAGCGGCUUCCUGGUCCAGCACCGACGUUCAGGCACGAAAGCCAGGGGAGCAAACGGG